AGCGAACGCUGGCGGCAGGCCUAACACAUGCAAGUCGAACGGACCCUUCGGGGUUAGUGGCGGACGGGUGAGUAACACGUGGGAACGUGCCUUUAGGUUCGGAAUAGCUCCUGGAAACGGGUGGUAAUGCCGAAUGUGCCCUUCGGGGGAAAGAUUUAUCGCCUUUAGAGCGGCCCGCGUCUGAUUAGCUAGUUGGUGGUGUAACGGACCACCAAGGCGACGAUCAGUAGCUGGUCUGAGAGGAUGAUCAGCCACAUUGGGACUGAGACACGGCCCAAACUCCUACGGGAGGCAGCAGUGGGGAAUCUUGCGCAAUGGGCGAAAGCCUGACGCAGCCAUGCCGCGUGAAUGAUGAAGGUCUUAGGAUUGUAAAAUUCUUUCACCGGGGACGAUAAUGACGGUACCCGGAGAAGAAGCCCCGGCUAACUUCGUGCCAGCAGCCGCCGUAAGAC
rnacentral:rRNA from 1 species